UUUGGAAAGGUUUAAUCUGGAUUUUAACUCUGUUAAUGUUUUAUUCACAUGAUUUCUUUGAACUAAAAGAGGAAAAGUAUUCUUGUUCUCACCAUUAUCUGUGGUGCAUAAAUCUGUCAUGGUGUUAAUACUCAAACUUUCACUUUAACUUCUGUUUUUUUCUUUCUGACAGCUGCUGCAGUUCAUCCUUUAACCACAAAGAGUGCCAAACGUAAUUCCGAGAACCCUAAAAAUGAAACAAGCAUACUAAAAAAAUGCUUUUCUUUCUGCAGAACUUUAGGAGUCUCCUGUCCAACUCUGCUUGUGUUGUCAUGUUGCAGGAGAGGUCUGGGGUGACUGCGUCUCAGGAAUUUCUCUGCAACCCCCCCAGCCACCCCAUUGUUGUGAGGCAGUUGGUCGAGGUGUGGCUCCUCUGCUGAAUUACAGUCAUGGACAUCCGUAAAUGACAAGAUCAAAUCACCCACGAGUGAAGCAGAGGAGGAGACAUCGUCUUGGCGUGAAUGUGUUUGAAAGUGUUAGAAAAUUAAAAAAAAAA